UCCGGUUUGUCACCGGCAGUCUCCUUAGAGUUCCCACCUUUACGUGCUGGCAACUAAGGACAAGGGUUGCGCUCGUUGCGGGACUUAACCCAACAUCUCACGACACGAGCUGACGACAGCCAUGCAGCACCUGUCUCACGGUUCCCGAAGGCACUCCCGCAUCUCUGCAAGAUUCCGUGGAUGUCAAGACCAGGUAAGGUUCUGCGCGUUGCAUCGAAUUAAACCACAUACUCCACCGCUUGUGCGGGCCCCCGUCAAUUCCUUUGAGUUUCAGUCUUGCGACCGUACUCCCCAGGCGGCGAACUUAACGCGUUAGCUUCGACACUGAAUGCUCAAUUGCACCCAACGUCCAGUUCGCAUCGUUUAGGGCGUGGACUAC
rnacentral:misc_RNA from 1 species